rnacentral:rRNA from 1 species
UGCUUAGGAAUCUACCUAGUAGUGGGGACAACAGUUGGAAACGACUGCUAAUACCGCAUACGCCCUAAGGGGGAAAGCAGGGGAUCUUCGGACCUUGCACUAUCGGAUGAGCCUGCGUCGGAUUAGCUUGUUGGUGGGGUAAUGGCCUACCAAGGCGACGAUCCGUAGCUGGUCUGAGAGGAUGAUCAGCCACACCGGAACUGAGACACGGUCCGGACUCCUACGGGAGGCAGCAGUGGGGAAUAUUGCACAAUGGGCGCAAGCCUGAUGCAGCCAUGCCGCGUGUGUGAAGAAGGCCUU